GCUCCGAUGGUGUAGUCCGGCCAAUCAUCUUGCCUUCUCGAGGCGAGGACCUGGGUUCGAAUCCCGGUCGGAGCA
rfam:Halorubrum sp. J07HR59 genomic scaffold scf7180000001379, whole genome shotgun sequence.